rnacentral:rRNA from 1 species
AGCGGAGGAAAAGAAACUAACAAGGAUUCCCCUAGUAACGGCGAGUGAACCGGGAAGAGCUCAAAUUUGAAAUCUGGCGUGCUCAGUGCGUCCGAGUUGUAAUCUAUAGAGGCGUUUUCCGUGCCGGACUGUGUCUAAGUCCCUUGGAACAGGGUAUCAAAGAGGGUGAUAAUCCCGUACUUGACACAAUGACCGGUGCUCUGUGAUACGUCUUCUACGAGUCGAGUUGUUUGGGAAUGCAGCUCAAAAUGGGUGGUGAGUUCCAUCUAAAGCUAAAUAUUGGCGAGAGACCGAUAGCGAACAAGUACCGUGAGGGAAAGAUGAAAAGCACUUUGGAAAGAGAGUUAAACAGUACGUGAAAUUGUUGAAAGGGAAACGAUUGAAGUCAGUCGUGACUGAGAGGCUCAGCCGGUUCUGCCGGUGUAUUCCCCUCAGUCGGGUCAACAUCAGUUUUGUUCGGUGGAUAAGGGCAGCUGGAAGGUGGCACCUCCGGGUGUGUUAUAGCCAGCUGUCGCAUACAUCGAAUGAGACUGAGGAAUGCAGCUCGCCUUUAUGGCCGGGGUUCGCCCACGUCCGAGCUUAGGAUGUAGACAUAAUGGCUUUAAACGACCCGUCUUGAAACACGGGACCA